GGGCCUUAAGCUUAAGUGGUACAAGCGUCCCGCUCAUAACGGGGAGAUAAUCAGUUCGAAUCUGAUCGGGCCCACCA
rnacentral:tRNA from 1 species